rnacentral:misc_RNA from 1 species
GCUUGCCUUUGGCAAUCCGUGGCGUGGUUCGUCUGAUAGCGUUGUUUCUUGCUAACGUGAGUGCGUGUGAGUGGCGUUCGGGAUGUUCGUGCUAUUUGGCUCCUUGGUCAUGGUUUUGGAACUUAUAGCACGCAACCCUUCUCAUGCACGCCUUGUGCUGGUGGGCCUCGGUGUUUCAGUAGUGGUUCUUGUGGUGCCUACCCAUUUAGUGGUAUCCGUGUGCCACGAAGACCCGAUCCUUCCAUGACCCCCUCGUGGAGGUUGUGAUGGGGGAAUUCUAAUUUGAUGUGUGUUCUGCGUUAGUUGUGCCUUGUAACGGCUCACGUGGCCACACGUGUCUAUUGUUCCCUUGGAUGCGGUGCAUGCGGUGAACGUGGGCUGGUGUUUGUGCCUCGUUUAGUCUCUAUGGUAUAUCGGUUGCCUUUUCAAGACACUUUGUCGUGGUGCCGGUCUUGCUAUCCCAUUGGUGGUGGCAACAUUGGCACGUCGUGCAUAGUCGUCAAUGGAUGCUACCUGGUUGAUC